UGGGGAAUAUUGCACAAUGGGCGCAAGCCUGAUGCAGCCAUGCCGCGUGUGUGAAGAAGGCCUUCGGGUUGUAAAGCACUUUCAGCGAGGAGGAAGGUGGUGAGCUUAAUACGUUCAUCAAUUGACGUUACUCGCAGAAGAAGCACCGGCUAACUCCGUGCCAGCAGCCGCGGUAAUACGGAGGGUGCAAGCGUUAAUCGGAAUUACUGGGCGUAAAGCGCACGCAGGCGGUUUGUUAAGUCAGAUGUGAAAUCCCCGGGCUCAACCUGGGAACUGCAUUUGAAACUGGCAAGCUAGAGUCUCGUAGAGGGGGGUAGAAUUCCAGGUGUAGCGGUGAAAUGCGUAGAGAUCUGGAGGAAUACCGGUGGCGAAGGCGGCCCCCCUGGACGAAGACUGACGCUCAGGUGCGAAAGCGUGGGGCAGCAAACAGGAUUAGAUACCCUGGUAGUCCACGCUGUAAACGAUGUCGAUUUGGAGGUUGUGCCCCUUGAGGCGUGGCUUCCGGAGCUAACGCGUUAAAUCGACCGCCUGGGGAGUACGGCCGCAAGGUUAAAACUCAAAUGAAUUG
rnacentral:rRNA from 1 species